AAACGUGAUCCAGAACAGUUCUGCCAUGAUGGGGGGUUUGAAUGUCCCUGUUGCAGUUUCACCACUGAAGAGAAGUUUUCUUUUACACUUCACCUAGAGAACCACAUAAGUCAUGCAGUGGAGCAUGGAGGUUACUUCAUCUUAAAAUGAAUGGCCCAUGGAAGAUCAUUAAAACCAAGGUUGUCAGAGUCCACCAUCACCAAACAGCCAGCUAGUAAGGAAACUGUGAUGGGUCAAGAUGACAGUGAUGAG